rnacentral:tRNA from 1 species
AUAUAUAAGUUUAAAUAAAACCUUACAUUUUCAGUGUAAUAAUAAAAUAUUUUUUUUUAUAUAUA